UACAGCAGCUCGUAGCAAGUGCUGUGGCUAAUUCCAGACCAAAGGCGAAGCAGGAUAAGAGGAAAUUUAUGAGUAAGCUCUUGAAGUAAUGAAACGAAAGUAAUGCUGAUUGGCCUCAUUUACAGCAGUUCAAAAGCUGAUCGGCAUCGCUGAAGUAGUGAAGGAUCAACUGACAAUCAUUUCCAUGGCAAGGAGCAGAGCUGACCUGCAGGACUCAGCACGGGGGGUCUGGGCACAGGGGGCCACAGCUGCCGGCCCCCAUGUCCCCUCCCAGCACCGUCCGGACAUCCCGUUGGCCCUGCUGGGGCACCAGCCCAGCUUCCUUGGGAAACAGGGUACGCAGUGCCAAGUGAUGACCAGAGCAGCUUGCCAGCUUAGUUUUUUUGCUUCUGUAAAAUGGAGGGACAAAGCUGGAGAGCAGGACACAUUGGUUGUGCCUCCCUGAGCCGCUCCCACUCCUGGGGAUGGAAACCCAAACUUUAUUUGUGUGGAAGACAACAUCCUGUAAGAGAGUAAGCGUUUCCCGGUGUCCGUGCGGGGGGACGGCGGGACGGGGUGGCUUGGUCAGAGGCAGGAGCUGGUCCGCCGAGGGAGGCAGGGUGGGGUGGGAGCACCCGCGAAGCU